rnacentral:rRNA from 1 species
CAGAGAGAGACAUGCGCGCAUAUCAAUAAGCGGAGGAAAAGAAACUAACAAGGAUUCCCUUAGUAACGGCGAGUGAAGCGGGAAGAGCUCAAAUUUGAAAUCUUCAAGGUUUUACCUUGACGAAUUGUAGUUUAAAGAAGUGUUUUCUGCUGAAGUUUUGGUAAAAGUUCUUUGGAAUAGGACAUCAUAGAGGGUGAGAAUCCCGUAUUUGACCAUUAUUUUCAGCUUUGUGAUACACUUUCAAAGAGUCGGAUUGUUUGGGAAUGCAGUCCAAAAUGGGUGGUAAAUUUCAUCUAAAGCUAAAUAUUGGCGAGAGACCGAUAGCGAACAAGUACCGUGAGGGAAAGAUGAAAAGAACUUUGAAAAGAGAGUUAAACAGUACGUGAAAUUGUCAAAAGGGAAGCGUUUGACACCAGUGUUGUUUUCUCGAAAAUCAAUUAAAAAUGGCUCGAUUUUGUAUUGCUUGAGACCUUAAAAGCUCACUGUACAUUUUUCGUGUCUUUUUUAAUGCACUUUUCGUUUAACAAGUCAACAUCAGUUUCUUUUGUUGUAAAAGGGUCAUUGGAAGGUGGCUUUCCUUUCGGAGAAAGUGUUUAUAGCCUUUGGCCUCUGCAAUCGGAGAGACUGAGGUCUGCAGCGUAGACUCUUCGGGGUUAGAUACAUUUGUGCUAAGUUAUAGCUUUUUAUAGACAACUUGUUGACUAUAAUUAGUCUUGUAGCUUACUCGCUUAUGCUAUUUUACCUACGCUUAGGAUGUUGAAGAUGUAGCACAUCAU